AGGUUGUACAACUGCAUGCUGAUACUGGAGAUGUCUGGACCCGUCAAUGGUUGCUCCCUGAAUCAACUUGUGCAACAGAAAAUUAACGAAACCAGAUCUGUGACAAGCGAAGGCCCCCUCUCUCGCCUGAUGGUGUGCGGUCCUGCUGGUUUGUCUGUUCGUUCUUGGUUGGCGUCCAACCUGACUUGGGUCACCGGUGACCUGCCGACCUACGAUUUUUGCCAACCCGAUCCCACGCAGCUACAGUGUGAGGCAAAUGAGACCUUUGCUGUUCUUCUGACUGACAGCUGCCCUUCUGAGCCUUCCACAGCAAAUCCAAACACAGCACAACCUUCUACACUGACCAGCAACAUCACGACAGAUCCUACAUCUACACAACCAUCUGUGACCACUGAACAAACUUACUCAAUAUCUGAAAAUGCAACAGCGCUGCCAAAUACAACAGCUGCACAUGCAACAAUAAGCAGUACACAGUCUUCGACAACACAACCUGCCACCCAAAUAAUCUCGCAAAACAUGACUUUGACCAUCUCUAACAACACAACUGUACAAAACAGAACUGAUAACACAACAGUGGCGACACCCACUGAAAGCACCACUACUACUGGUGGCAACCUGAUAUUACAAAACACUACAACUGCUCUGAGUAAUUCAACACUGUCUCCCAGUCACGCAACAGCUGAUACAACCACACCUUCUGUCACUCAAACAACAGAGUACAGUGCAACUACAGUUACACCUUCUAUCAAUAACACAACACACAAUGCAACUGCAACUGAAGCUAUUAGACCCAAUAACACAACAUACACUGCAGCUACAGUUACAGUUUCUCACAAUGACACAACACACAAUGUUGCUACAGUUACACCGUCUCCUACUAACACAUCAACACACAAUGUAACUACAGCUGAAGCAAGUGGAGCCAAUGACACAACAAUACACAAUGAAACUACAGUUACAAAUUCUCCUAAUGACACAACAACACACAAUGUAGGAACAGCUACAGCUACGCGUUCUACCAAUAACACAACAACACACGAUGCAACUACAGUUACAACUUCUCACAAUAGCACAACACACAGUGCAACUACAGUUACAACUUCUCCUAAUACCACAACAAUAUACAAUGUAACUAAAGCUGAAGCAAUUAGAUCCAAUAAUACAACAACAUACAAUGCAACUACAGUUACAACUUCUACCAACAACACAACACACAAUGCAACUACAGUUACAACUCCUCACAAUGGCACAACAACACACAAUGCAACUGCAGCUGCAACUUCUCCAAAUGACGCAACAACACACAAUGUAACUACAGCCACACCUUCUCCCAAUAAGACAACACACAAUGUUGGUACAGCAACAUCUUCUG
ensembl:lncRNA